GUGACAUGGCAACCCACAUCACAAAAGGGACAACCCCAAAUAUGGGGCAAAGGCUGGGUGCCACUUUGCCCGUGAUGUGACUAAGAAGAGGAGCUUGACUGCUUGGCUCUCUGCACGUCAUAGGCAUGGCUGCUUUCUGGAGAAUGCACUUCUUCCUCAGCCUGAAGGAUGACAAUAUCUUCUACCCCAUCCUCUGGAUCAUGCUGAUCCUAUCAUUAUUUGUAUUCGUUAUGGCCUUGUGGAAGUGGAAGGGUGGGAGGCCAAGGAGGUACCACUGCAGAGACAACGCAGAGAAUUACAGAGGUGAGCAGCAUGGGCAAGGACAGAUGCCCUGCAAAGACACCCUGUAGCCCCACAGAUCCGUGGCUCCAUCAGGGAAGGGCUUUCUGCACUUUUUUUCUGCUCCUGCACUUCUGUCAAAGCAGAUGAAGGCAGCUGCAUUUCACAUCUGACCCUCAGCACUCCUCUGCAUGGAGCAGAUUUGAGUCAUGCUGCUGUGGACCAGCCUGACUUCAUGCUUUCAGAUGCUCUUGAGCCCCAAAGAGUCCAGGAAACCUUGGACUGAAUCAUCCCAAAAAGGACAUGCCAAUAUGAACCCAUCAAUUACAUGAAUUAAAAAAUAAAUUAAAAAAAAA